rnacentral:rRNA from 1 species
GGCUGAACGCUGGCGGCGUGCCUAAUCCAUGCAAGUCGAGCGAACAGACGAGGAUCUUGCUCCUCUGACGUUAGCGGCGGACGGGGGAGUAACACGUGGAUAACCUACCUAUAAGACUGGGAUAACUUCGGGAAACCGGAGCUAAUACCGGAUAAUAUAUUGAACCGCAUGGUUCAAUAGUGAAAGACGGUUUUGCUGUCACUUAUAGAUGGAUCCGCGCCGCAUUAGCUAGUUGGUAAGGUAACGGCUUACCAAGGCAACGAUGCGUAGCCGACCUGAGAGGGUGAUCGGCCACACUGGAACUGAGACACGGUCCAGACUCCUACGGGAGGCAGCAGUAGGGAAUCUUCCGCAAUGGGCGAAAGCCUGACGGAGCAACGCCGCGUGAGUGAUGACGGUCUUCGGAUCGUAAAACUCUGUUAUUAGGGAAGAACAAAUGUGUAAGUAACUAUGCACGUCUUGACGGUACCUAAUCAGAAAGCCACGGCUAACUACGUG